UAGGAUACUAAACACUGUACGAGGAAUAAUAUUAGUAUAAUUAAAGAAGAAAUAAUCAACACAUCAAAGACAACAACACGAACCUUAACCUAAUAUUGCACACGUAGAAAUAUUGCACUUGAUCAAUAUAAACACACUGAAUACCUAUAUCUCUUGUUGUUCGGCUGUUGUCUGUGUGGAGCGUGAUUCUGCCGCCUUCAUCACACUCCCUAUCCUGUUUCCCGAACAUUUGGGACAUUUAGGAGUAACAACUCCCAUUAACCCACAUUUGUAGCAGAAUAAGGUUCUCUGAACACUGGGACAAUCAUUAAAUAGAUGACCUGGUAAUCUACAAUUCCAGCAAAGCAUUCUGUCUGUACUCAUAGUGUUCGAUUUCCGCUAUCAAAUCUCGGAUAAGUCCAGCAUAAGCUCUCGGACUAUGGCCCGUUGAAUAUCCUUUUUGUGUCUGAGGAAUAUUUGGUGGUGGAAAAUUAUAUGUUUUCGGAGGAACAAAAGUUUUCGGUAUUGCUCCGGUUUGUUGUCCAGGAACUGCCGUUUGUGUUUGCGAUGGUGGACCGUAUGACUGGUUCCUUAUCGGUAUUUAAUGGUGUUCUCCCUACUGGCAUUUUCAAAAUUUGAUUUUUAAACAUAAAAUUUGAAAUUAAACAUAAGAUAAACAAAUACUAAACUAUUACAUUAAUUCUUACAUACAUUUAACAAAACACUAAUACAAAAUUUAAACAUAAAUAAACGUUCACGUAAACACUUUUUCAAAUUACGUGACACACAAACAUACGAUAAGAUUUUAUAAAAAUAAAUAUUACACAACAUAAAAAGACAAAAUAUAUCAAAUGAUUUAACAAAACAAAAAAUGUUUACAACAUAUAACAUAUAAGACACAAAAAAAAAACAAUUCUCAUAAAAAGUUACAGGCACAUUGGUAUUCCGACAGAAAAAGAGAAUAUUGAUGAUAGUUGUUGGUAUAUUAACGCUUUCCUUUACUAUUUGAUGUUCUGGUAAAUAAACAUAAAAUCUUUUCCAUCAACAUAAAUCACAAAAAUGCAAACUGAACAUUCAUUUAUUUCAGGACAAUUUGCGAUUAAUGUUUCUGGCUUCCGGUUUAAUCAAAUCAAUAUCUGCAACUAGGUUUGCUAAACUAUAUCCUAGGACAAAUAUUAAUUUAAUUUUCUUCUCACUAUCUCUAUCACAAAAUGCAAACUGAUUCUUCAGAAUUCAGGACAUUUGUGUAAGAUAAUAAGAUUCGGAGAAUAAUAGUUCCAGUAUUCGCAAACUUGACUAUUAAUGUUAAGGACGAUUCUGAAUCUAUAUUUUCCUAAUUUCCACUACUGAUAAUCAAUACUAAUUCGAAAUACGCAAACUAACAUAUCAUUUCCGUUAGGACGAUUUCACAUUAGUAUGUAAAUCCUAUUCUAAAUUCUAUUUCCAUGCGUUUAGCUGUUGUACGCGACCUACUUAUACACCUUAGAAUACAUAUUCGUGGAUUUGAAAAUGAAUUCUAGGUUGUCUCUUUUUAAAAAUUGGGCGCCAUUAUUGUUACGUGUCUCUUUGUUGAUCUGGUGUGUUUCGAUGCCACCUCGACUAGCUCUACUUUCGGCGUGGGAACUCAACCCGCAUCUACAUCACUAAGAGAAUGUAUCAAUAAAUUAAAAUAAACAAAACAAAAUCCCUAACAAAUUCCUAACAUAAAACACUAGUUUCACCAACACUGAACAUCAAACAAUUUAACCGUGGAUUAGAUGUCAAGUCCACGUACGUUGCCCACCCUACCAUAGUCAUUUCAUUUCCUAAUGACCCCUACAAUUUACCAAUCCAACAACUUACCAAAUCAUCACACUCUCGUCAUCUUCGGCCCACUGUACCUGAAAUCUUACACAAUUAGUAACACAUAUUUAUACAAAUUCUAUUUCUUAUUACAUUUAUUAAUCAAAACAAUGAAAUUAAACAUAAAUAAAACUUAUACAUAAAUAAAUAAUUAAAA